UAUACACACCCUUACACACACUGGUGUAAGGAAUGUGGGAAAAAAUUCAUCCUGAAGAGUCACCUUGCUAGACACACCGUUACACACACUGGUGUAAAAAGUCAUGAGUGUGAAGAGUGCGGGAAGAGGUUCAGUGUGAAGUCAACCCUCAAUGAACGCGUCUUCAGGCACUUUGGCCUUAGAGAGUUCAAGUCUUUAAGACAAAGAGUGACAUUGCCAGGCACAUGAAGACCCACUUCUGAAGUGUGUCUGCCAACAGUAAUUAUAGUGACCAGGGUGUUAGCAGCAGCUGAGCCUGAUAGGGAAAGGGAAGUGAAGGAGAGGUAAACGUGAUCUUGUUAGACAAGGAAGAAAGAAGGCUUGCCUGUGAAGUGAUAAAAGGAGAGGAGCCACAGCAAGAAGAGGAAGGGAAAUACUGAUGGCUGACUUUCCACAGCUGUGGCAGCUGCACCUGGGCCUGGAGCCUGGUUGAGUCUCACAGCUACAGUGAAUGACUUACUCCUCUGUGAGAGUGUGUGAAGCAGUUUGCCAACAUCGUCGUGGCCCUCCUGAUGCUGUUCGCCGCGUACAAUCACUUGAUGAUCUUCUUCUUCAUGCUAACCUGCCGGCUCAUCGUUGAGUACCAAAUCCACCGGAAGGAGAUGGACAAGGCGGCGGCAGCGGCCAAGAAGUCACCCGCCGCAGCCGUCGAAUGGAAGGACGAAGGAACAGCCGCCAACUCCAUCGCUGACGGCUCCACGUCUACUCUCGUCUCCUCCUCCUCCUCCUCAGUUGCCUCCGCUUCCUCCUCCUCACCCUCCUCCUCCUCUCAACAUCGACGGUCGAAGAAGGAUGUUUAGUGUGGAGGC